GUUUACUUCAGGGUAUUUUCAUGAACGUUUAACAUGGAUUUUUGAAACGCGGAAAACACCAGGCUUACCUCAACUUAUAAAAACAAAAAUCUUUUCUUUGCUUUGUUUCAAUAUUGUUUCAAAUUACUCUGUUUAGAUUUAGACGAGAGCGUUCGGAGACUGGGAGGGUUAUUUUGAAAUCCUUAAUCUUUACCCGAUUCUAUGAUCUUCAAUCUGAUUAACAUGUUGCUUGUUGCAAAGAUACGUUAAGAGUUGAAAAAGCUUUUUUAGCGAUAAUAUUGGAAAAUAUGGCGUUUGCAUUGGUGAAUUUUUACAACGAAAAUACAUGGAUAUUAUUUCAUAUUCUAACAUCAAUUUUGAAGAUGAAAAUAUGUCUAAAGACAAAGAUGAACUUAAAGGAUUCAAAACGUUAGUCAUGUGGAGCGAUGGAAAAACAAAAGGAAACGGCAAGUCGAGGGAAUUUCCUGCAGAGAUAAUAGAGGUUUCAGAUAGUAAAGAUUAUUUGCUCAAGACAAUGAGAGAAGAAGAAACUUUCUCUAUAAAUACUGGCAAAGGGUGUCGCAAAAGAAUUCAAAAAGCAAAGUUUACAAUUGAAAGUGUUAGUGAAUCAGAUGAUGUGCAGGAGCACAGUAUUCCUAAAAAGCUAAAGGCAUCCAGGGCAAAGAAAACAGAGGUUUGCCGCUCAGCCAGUCUUGCUUCACUUAUAAAAGAGUGAUUAACCAAGGAGAGUCAGUCAGAUGAAGGUAGUGCACUUUGCAAUGAUAAAUGCAAGUAUAAAAAAGAAGCCUUGGAACUCAAAGAGAGGGUAAAAAUGCUGGAAAAUCAGAUCAAAAGACUUAAUGAGCAAAUUGACAAUGGCAAUGGGUUGAACCAACUUUUUGGAAGUACCUUUUUUAAAGCAUAUGUUGGCCAUGGACAAAGAACUGAUAAGUUUGAUAAUGGUUGUGAAAAUGGUGAUGUUGUAAAUAAUGAUAGCGAUGAUGAUGGUAAUUCUGGGAAUGUAUUUUGUGGACAAGACGGAACAGUUAAUGAAGGUGACGGACACCUUGUAACAGAAAACGCCGCGCCUAAGAAAAUUGAUAAAGAACACAGGAAGGGAAGAAGUAACAACAAAAGAAAAAGAAAGAGGCAAAGUCCAGUGACAGAAAAAGUGUGUCUUGUGCAAAGAAAAGAGGUAGUCAUUUGACAUCCUAUAACAAAUGUAAAGCCUUUCUUUGUCAAGAACCAUCCUCCAAAGAUAAUGGAAUGGUGGAUUGGGUGUUGUGUGAUGUUUGUCAACAAUGGUACCAUUGGGAUUGCGUUGGCAUUACGACGAAGCCGAAAGGAAAAUUUGAUUGCUGAUGAUAUGUAUCUUAUUUUAAGUAUGGAUCUGCGAAAACAUUUGACAUAAAUAUGAAGGGAAAUCGCUCAUUCAGAGGAUUAAAGGCCUGCAUAUAUUGUAUACGAAAAACUGAGCGUUGUCUCCGAAAUAACGCUGAAAAAAUUUAUAAUUGUGCGAGUGGAGUUCAAGACGGUGCAGACUCUGAAAGUGGCUAACCUUGUUGUCUACCGAAGUACCUGAAAGCUGUAGUGGAUCUUGUAAAAAUUUGAGGUGACUUGACAAUGUAUCAUACUGAUUUACUCUUAUGACUUAAUGUCGUCUAAACAUACUAUUGACGAUGAACUAGCGCUGUUUUUAGUUUAGGUUUACUGAAUAAGAUUUUCUUUUUUAGCUAAGUUCUAUUACUUUAUCAAAAAAUAAUGAAUUCUUGUACAGGAAACAAUUAUACUUCAAUUUUGUCUAUAGUUAAAAUAAAAGAUGCUUUUAGUUACAACUA